UACGAAGGGGGCUAGCGUUGUUCGGAAUUACUGGGCGUAAAGCGCGCGCAGGCGGUCUUCCAAGUCAGUGGUGAAAGCCCGGAGCUCAACUCUGGAACUGCCAUUGAAACUGUUGGACUUGAGUACGAGAGAGGUGAGUGGAAUUCCCAGUGUAGAGGUGAAAUUCGUAGAUAUUGGGAAGAACCCCGGUGGCGAAGGCGGCUCACUGGCUCGUAACUGACGCUCAGGCGCGACAGCGUGGGGAUCAAACAGG
rnacentral:rRNA from 1 species